UACGUAGGGCGCAAGCGUUAUCCGGAAUUAUUGGGCGUAAAGAGCUCGUAGGCGGUCUGUCGCGUCGGAUGUGAAAAUCCAGGGCUCAACCCUGGACCUGCAUUCGAUACGGGCAGACUAGAGUUCGGCAGGGGAGACUGGAAUUCCUGGUGUAGCGGUGAAAUGCGCAGAUAUCAGGAGGAACACCGGUGGCGAAGGCGGGUCUCUGGGCCGAUACUGACGCUGAGGAGCGAAAGCGUGGGGAGCGAACAGG
rnacentral:rRNA from 1 species